rnacentral:lncRNA from 1 species
UUGUGUUAGAACUUUGAGAGAGUUCGGUAGUGUAUGUAGCUGUCUGUCCCUGGACUUGGCUUUGUGACUUUCUUGGUGGUGGGUGAUGCAGAUGCAGGGUUAUCAUCUUCAGAUUUUGGUGCCUGAUGUCAGCGAUAUCUUUGCUGUAGUUUCUAUAGCCAUCAAGGGUUUGAGCCGUGCUGAACAUGCUCCUGCGUUUUGCUGUACUCCUGUCUGCACCACCAGGACACACCCUCCAAAGCAUGUUUAAUCUAUUUCUGGCAUCUCGGCUCUUGAGGAUUUUAAUGGUAAAUAACAAAGCUCAAAAGACUGACGGUGUAAGAGCAACUCUAGCAGGUGAGCAACAUUUGCAGCAUCAAAAUCAUUUCGAAGCGCUCAACAUAAUAAGCAAUUACAAGUUGGAAUGCACAAAUACGAAGUCGCAAAAAUUCGAACUCCAUAUUUUACAGAUUCACCUUUUUUUUAAGCUCGAAGAUAGUGGGAAAGGCUCGGACGCAGACGAGGAGCACACGGGGACCACACCCACCAGAAUCUAAGCCGCUCGUCAUUAGUUUUGGGAUUGGUGUAACUUUUUCUUGAAUUGCCAGCGACUUCAUAAUACACGAGUUUGUGUAUAUGUCAAUAGUAUUACCUUCGUUUCAGUUUACAAGUCCUACGCGUAUAUCUAGGUUGUUAAUUUUAUCACCCUAAUAUAAACUAUAUAACAUAAAAAUUAUACCUUUUGAAAGUAGAAACUCCGAAGUUUAUGUUGGUAUAUUUUUUGUAAUAUAUGACUUGUAUUAGGUUGGUCAAAUUAACGAUCUAGAAAUAUGUGCACGCUCUGUAAACUGAGAGAGGUAGUAAAAUGUUGUCCAUACUCAUUUAUUAGUGAACUGAAUGCAGUGUAUUUAACUUACUACACAUUGACUGAUAAAGUGGUGCAAGUUUUCAAUGAAGAAUUGAUUGAAAAAAAUGAAUGAGAAUUGAUUAAAAUAAAUGAAUGUAAAUUUGCCAGGCAACUUGCAGUGAAAAGGUAUCCCAAAAAAACUUAAAGUGGAAAGAUAAAACAUAAAAAGUAAAAUAAAAGAUGCCGCUACAAAGACUUAUGCUAGUUUCUUUUGAAAUACUAGCAAAAAGGUUAGAAAAAAAAUCCACUCAUAUAUCUAGUUAGGUCAGUUGGACAAACUAUGCGUGGACAGUAUGCAAGUUAUGAGAUCGAAUCUUUCCAUCGGCAAUUUUAUUUUUCUUCGGACCUGACCCACAGUGUGCCGUUAGAUGAGCUUCCUCCGUUGGGCUAAAACAGGUGGCAAAUAAUGAAACUAAAUAGCUUACGUGAAAUUAAUUGAAACAGGACCAAAUGAAACAGAACGAAACCAAGAAUAGCACCUCUUUUUAAUAGCAGGUAUAGAUUUGAAGAAUAUUAUGGUUUUCUUAUGAACCACAGUUUUUAAAACUUUGAGGUGUUUGGGUUCAACAAAAAUCGCAGUUUUAUAAACAUAUUAUCUCUAAUACUUUUUUUUAUAGUAUUCAAGAAAAGAUGUCUUGACCAAUUUUUUCUAAACUAAAGAUGAAAAAAAUUAUGGUUUUUAAAAACGGAAGUAUUCAUUGUUUACGCAAUUGAAUAUAAAUGUUUUACAUUACUAUGGUUUUGAGAAAACUAUAUUGACAAACUAGGCGUUAGUACAAAAAUGUCGUAGUAAGCAUACAUAUAAUAAUUUAAUUACAUGAUUAGGGUCGGAUGGUUGAUAAUACAAAUUAUCAUAUCUGCAUCAUUAAGCACUAGUUCUUUCGUCGUACUAAAUUAUGCGACAGAAACACAACCUUGAGGAAAUAGUUAAUCACAUAAUCAAUUUUUCCAACCUUAAAUUUUGUCCAACUAAAAUAUUAGAUGGUCAGUACUAGCAAGAUUUGAUCAAGGCCAUAGUAACAACCGGUUGCAUUUAAUAUUUGAUGUGUGGUUCGGAGGUGGCCAUUGGAGACAAUGGGGUCUUCUCCUUUGCCACUGGUCAGGUCAGGACAACUGUUGAUAUUUAUAUGGGAGGGAUAUACAUGAUCGUUGAAUCAUGAAAUACAUCUUGACUAAUAUUUUGGUUGGGAUCCUGAUGCAAAUGAGUAGAGGAGAUUCCGGUGGGCAGCGUCGCCGAGUGCUCCUAUGCAAUUUUGGAAAGGCUCUCACUAACUUUAGACCAGUCAUAGUGGGGGGGUAACUUAGGCGACACUAGCCUAUGUUACUAUCUCAUAGUGGGAAGUAAGAUAGAGUUCAUAGUGAGAAGUAACAUAGAGGUAGUGUGAUAGGUGGAUCUAUUUAUUAGCUUGUAGACGUAUUUUGUCUUGGAAAGUGUUAUGUGAUGUAUGUUACUUUAAACAUCUCUCUUCUCAUUAACUACAUGUCACAUAAGCAGAAUUAUUUUGGGGUGUGUUAUGUUACUACAUAAGUUACUCCUGCUAUGACCAGCCUUACGGAUCCACCCUAUCAACAUCUGUUUAUUCCCCACUUCAUAUUUUACGGAUUCACCUUGUCAGCGUCUAUAUUUGUUUUUCACACACAAAAAUUGCAUAUUGCGUUGAACAUCACACUAAAAUCAAAAUUAACCUAGAGCAACAAAUCGGAAUUGAGCUAGAAUGACUAAUUGAGGUUGACAUAAGAACCAAUCAAAACAUGAUUUUAUUUAACCGAUUUCCUACUCUGUUUGGAAGUGACUUCACAUGUGGGGGCGAGUUUGACUGCUUCCGUUUGCGCUUUUACGCAGUUGAGGUUUCAUUGGGCUUCUUUGAUGCGAGUGAUGACCGUAUCCUUGUAGCCCUCCUUGAUUGUGGCUUCUACUUCUAUCACGUCGGCUUCCGUCAUGCGAACGAGGUACCAACAGGUGGCGGGGAGGCGAAUUGGCCUGCUGGGUGAUUCAACCUCUCUUAGGGCGUCAGCUUGGACCCCCUUAGAGUAAUGCCAUGCCUUCUCCCUAGAACUUCGUUCAGCGAGUCCUUAUUUACCAUCACCUGGAAAGGGUCCACGAGAAGGGUCUGAACGCAACAUGGCUCGAGCGAGGUUGGUGUAGAGGAAGAUAGUGGACAAGGAGGAGGAUGUUGGCUGAGUGUGGUAGCAGCAAGGUGGAGAGUGUCGGUUCAUAUAGUCGUGCUCUGGCGGGAAAGGGCGGGAUAAAGGGAAAGCAUAGGAGGGAAAUGGGCAUGAUGCAGUGGCCACUACUAAUGGGCGAUUUCCUAGUGGAGACCACUAUUUAGGAGAAGACGAGAAGCAAACGAUUAAAAUUCCCCUCCUGCGCACGCAGUUUGAUAUGCAUGCGUUCACCCAGCCUUCGAAUUAAUAUGAAGGCUAUGUUCGCUUGUUUAGCGUGCUCCAAAAAUAAUGAAGUCCAAGGGCAAUAUCACGGCUUUGCUAGACCCAUAUUUUGAGCCCCAGACAACACACUGAUGGCCUUAUUUAUAUAAUAUGGCGAUCAGACCGAUAUGCGCAUAUGCUAGAGCCGCUUUAACUUAGAAGUAGAGAUUUAGAAUGUGGAUAACCCAUAAGGCCUUUAAAAAACAAUUGGUAUGAUCUCUGCCUUUUCAUUAAGAAGAAGAGAAUUGGCCAGCUAACAAGGAAAACUAGCCGAAAAUCUGAUACAACAGCGAUACACACCGACACACACACCAACUUCGAGGUUGCGUAGGCGUUUCGACAACUCUGCCACCCAAGUUUCCAUUGAUGGCAUCCUACUGAUGAGUCUAAAUUUGCUUUACUUUUUACCUUUAAUACUCAUGUAGUAGUUGUAGGAUUGUUGGAUUUUACUGUGUUCGCGCACCCUUUUUAUUGAUUUCAUUAGGAUCUUAACAAAGGAGGGGAUUGAUGACACACAAGUAUAGGGGAUCUAUCGUAGUCCUUUCGAUAAGUAAGAGUGUCGAACCCAACGAGGAGCAAAAGGAAAUGAUAAGCAAUUUUCAGUAAGGUAUUCUCUACAAGCACUGAAAUUAUCGGUAACAGAUAGUUUUGUGAUAAGGUGAUUGGUAACGGGUAACAAGUAAUAAAAGUAAAUAAGGUGCAACAAGAUGGCCCAAUCCUUUUUGUAGCAAAGGACAAGCCUAGACAAAGUCUUAUAUAAAGGAAAACGCUCCCGAGGACACAUGAGAAUUAUCGUCAAGCUACUUUUCAUCACGCUCAUAUGAUUCACGUUCCGUACUUUGAUAAUUUGAUAUGUGGGUGGACCGGUGCUUGGGUACUUCCCUUACUUGGACAAGCAUCCCACUUAUGAUUAACCCCUCUUGCAAGUAUCCGCAACUACAAAAGAAGUAUUAAGGUAAACCUAGCCAUAGCAUGAAACAUAUGGAUCCAAAUCAGCCCCUUACGAAGCAACACACAAACUAGGGUUUAAGAUCCUGUCACUCUAGCAACCCAUCAUCUACUUAUUACUUCCCAAUGCCUUCCCCUAGGCCCAAACAAUGGUGAAGUGUCAUGUAGUCGACGUUCACAUGACACCACUAGAGCAAGGACAACAUACAUCUCAUCAAAAUAUCGAAUGAAUACCAAAUUCACAUGACUACUUAUAGCAAGACUUCUCCCAUGUCCUCAGGAACAAACGUAACUACUCACAAAUCAUAUUCAUGUUCAUAAUCAGAGGGGUAUUAAUAUGCAUAAAGGAUCUGAACAUAUGAUCUUCCACCAAGUAAACCAACUAGCAUCAACUACAAGGAGUUAUCAACACUACUAGCAACCCACAGGUACCAAUGUGAGGUUUCGGGACAAAGAUUGGAUACAAGAGAUGAACUAGGUUUGAGAUGAGAUGGUGCUGGUGAAGAUGUUGAUCGAGAUUGACCCCCUCCCGAUGAGAGGAUUGAUGGUGAUGACGAUGGUGGUGAUUUCCCCCUCCCGGAGGGAUGUUUUCCCGGCAGAAUAGCUCCGCCGGAGCCCUAGAUUGGUCCCGCCUCGUGGCGGCGGUGUUUCGUCUUGAAAGCUUGCUUAUGAUUUUUUCCAGGGCGAAAGACUCCAUCUAGCCAAAGAUGGGCACCGGAGGCCUGCCAGGGGGCCCAUGAGACAGGGGGCGCGCCCAGGGGGGUAGGGCGCGCCCCCACCCUCGUGGAUGGUGGGUGGACCCCCUCCGGUGCUUUCUUUGCCCAAUAUUUUUUAUAUAAUCCAAAACUGACUUCCGUGGAGUUUCAAGACUUUUGGAGUUGUGCAGAAUAGGUCUCUAAUAUUUGCUCCUUUUCCAGCCCAGAAUUCCAGCUGCCGACAUUCUCCCUCUUCGCGCAAACCUUGUAAAAUAAGAGAGAAUAGGCAUAAGUAUUGUGACAUAAUGUGUAAUAACAACCCAUAAUGCAAUAAAUAUCGAUAUAAAAGUAUGAUGCAAAAUGGACGUACCAGGGAUCUAGAGCAUUAAAGAGGAGAAUGCGAGUAUGUAGGUGAGCAUCAUGUUUAUUCACGUGGUGGAAGUUUGCCAUAAAAAUAAGCGAUCAAACGGAGUAAAUCCCAGUCGUAACAGUCUCCAGGAGAGAAGACAUCGCCUUGUACUAGCGCGCCCGCUUGUACAAGGCUUGUACCAUGUAACGCCACCUCCCUUUGGUCGACUAUUUCACCCUGAUGGCUUCAUAUCAUGAAUUAGAGAUACAGAGAGCCCAAUAACUCCAACAGAACCAAGAAUCCUAGCCUCCAGAAUGGGCCCGGAGGGGGAAUCGAUGGAAGGGCUCUGCCACGCAUCUUGACCAAGGAGACUCCGACAUCAACCAUCAUCAUCAUCAUCAUCAUCAUCAUCAUCAUCAUCAUCAUCAUCAUCAUCAUCAUCAUACCCUAUUCAUAUCUUUGCAAUACCAAAACCUAGGUGGAAACCUACAUGUAUUACUUUGAUUGUUCAUCCAUGUUUGCCAUGAUUAUCCUUGUGAUGUUUACUAUCUUUAUGUCCGAGUAAUAAUACCCCUACUUCUCAAGGAUGUGGAGGAACCCUAGUAUGUUUUGGUGUUGAACACUAAUAGGAUAGAGAAUCAUCAUUUGCUUGUUUGAGUUAAUGUUCUUCAUGAAUUUUGUGUAAGGUCAACCUUGACAUUUAGCCUUUAUGGUCAUGAAGGAUGUUACUAUCGUUGUGAUGGUGGCAUGCAAAGGUAAAGAGGUGACCGUAAUAUCCUCCCUUCCUACCUGGAGCAAUUGAUAGGAGAAUAACAGAGAGCCGACCAUUGGCCACGUCCAUGGGGAACCGUUAAUAAUCGUUGUUGUAACCUACUGUGUAGAGGAAUGAUGGUGACAUGUGUGAUAUGGAGCUACACAAUUAGCACCCAUGUUUGUACCAGGCUCCACCUACUUAUCCAAAACAAUAAGCGUCGCGCAAUGGGAGAUCACUGAGGCAUGCCACGUCAGAUUGAUCAAUUGGCUCAAAGAAAAAUGACGGAUCGAGGGAGCACGUGGGUUGGUGGCUUCUCCUGUUCGUUCAUUGGAGAUAAGAGAAAAAUAGGAAAAUUAAUUCACCCACUCCAAGGCGUCUGAGCCCCCUUGCGCUUACUUCACAUCUAGCCUCUAGGUUCCCAAACCUGUAGCGCUGUCGUCGCUGCCGCCCCCGCGUUCGAUGCACCUCCGCUGCCCGAGCAAGGAGCAGCAACUCCUCUAGCCUCAUAGAACCCCACCUCACUGGCCCGAGUAGGGGUGGCACGCCUCGUACUCGCCUCCAUCUAAGCACACACACACACACAGAGAUGGUGAUGGCUGGAUCUGGCUAGGUGGCCAUGGAGGAGGACGACUUGGCCCUGCAGCUGAUGCAAACCAUCCAUUUCUUCCCAGUGUCGCCCUAUUAUUCCUCCUCUCACUCCGAUCUUGUCGUGGCCACCACCAACAAUAGAAAGAAAUCAAGCCCUUUUGUGGUAUGAUCUAUCCCUUCCAUUGUUGUUUGAUCCAUUUGCUUGCACCCUUUUGUGCUGCUGUUGUGAGGCGGAGAAACAGAGGAAUUGUGAUGUGUAUAUGCUAUAUUUCCCUUUCUGAAUUUGGAGGUUGUGCAACACAGAACAAUUAUAAACUGAUAAUCUCUACAUGAUACUAACAGGAGGAAUAGAGGGAUGUAAUUUGUAAAUAUAGAAAUUUCAUGUUUUGUGAAAUGGUAAACACUGAAUUUCACACUUUUGAUCUUGCCUGGAACUUCGGUAUGUAAAGUAAUCUGCUCUGGGUUUGCUGGUGUGAUAACAUAACUGACUGGCUCCACCUUCUCAUGAAGUACGCUGAGGUUAGCUUUUGUUUUUACACGGGCCAUUCUAAAAAAUGGCAUUAUUUUCGCUACAAGUCGUGCCUCUGCUGCAAGUAUGUCAUUGUGAUUGUGCCUUUCUAUCAGCCCGUUGGCUACCGCUAUUGAUUGUCUAUGUUGGAGCAGAAGAAUCCAUCACAUGGUCUCUAGGGCUCGUCUCACAGGGCUGCCGACAUAGCGGGGGANNNNNNNNNNNNNNNNNNNNNNNNNNNNNNNNNNNNNNNNNNNNNNNNNNNNNNNNNNNNNNNNNNNNNNNNNNNNNNNNNNNNNNNNNNNNNNNNNNNNNNNNNNNNNNNNNNNNNNNNNNNNNNNNNNNNNNNNNNNNNNNNNNNNNNNNNNNNNNNNNNNNNNNNNNNNNNNNNNNNNNNNNNNNNNNNNNNNNNNNNNNNNNNNNNNNNNNNNNNNNNNNNNNNNNNNNNNNNNNNGUUUGAAGCUUGGUGGCUUGGAUUCGGAGGUUAUCUUAUAUCUAUGUGUGUAAUAUUAGCACGUUCCAUAUGAGCUCAUGGCCUGCAGCACCCCCGAUGUGCUUGAGGCGUUGGUUGUCAACAUCGAGUUGGGACCAGAGGUACUGGUCACGUGGAUUGUCCAGUUUGGUCUUGUCCUUGCUUUUCUCGCGCUUGAGUUUUUAAAUACUAGCUUGUACAGUACGUGUGUAUCAAUUACUAAUACUCGUAGCUACCACAUUGAAUGCAGAUCAUAUCGAGUGGUGCCUAUUGUGACCUAUUAUCAGAUAAAACAACCCUUGGUAUCAAAGUUCAGUUGAUAUAUUUCUUGAGCAGUAAUCAAAGGCAUCUUUUGUUGCUUUGACUUUUCUAUAUGUUGGUACUGCAUGUGAAUCAUGAGUAGAAGUAGCAUGGACAUCUUCCAAACUGCCGUGAUGGAGCCAACCAGGAUCCUCCCCUUAAUGCAAAUCAACGUGAUGUUAGAUCGUUUUGAGAUGGAUAUAUAUAUACAUAUACAUAUACAUACAUACAUAUAUAUAUAUAUAUAUAUAUAUAUAUAUAUAUAUAUAUAUAUCAGGACAUUUGACUUUCAUCUUUAUUCCGGUAUUCUUAUUGGUAGAAAAGCUACGCACUUCAAAGUAGGUUUCCACUAAUCAAAUCAUGAUCAACAUUCACAUGAUUGGUCCAAAUGGGCAAAAGCUAGGGCUGCAUGGUGCUGCAUACUUCUGUUAACUAAUCAUACUAAUGGAGUGAUUGUUGGUCACAACUUAUUUUUAUAAUAUUUAUUCCAGAUCUGGUAGUAUAUAGUUGAUAGCUGUCCAACACCUUGGUUAUUUGCUUAUAAUAUAACUUUUCUUUCGGCCAUGCAUGAAAAGACUAGCUGUAUUUCAAAAAUCGAGCAUUUCUCGUCUGUCUGUUUGAAUUCGAUUUUGGCAGUGGGGGAGGAGGUGGCUGAGGGCUCGUGCCACCCGGAAGAUGAUGGUCAGGGAGUUUGAGCUCAUUUGGAUAAAGCCUGUACGGGGAAGAAGGGUUGGAUCAUGCGCUUCGAUGGACAUUGAUUCCUUGCAUGAUGUCUGUCUAUUUUGCACACAUAUUGAGUUACUUGUUCUCUCUGAAUUCGUGUGUCCGAACUAUUCAUAUUUAGUGUUUAUGUCUAAUUUCUAGAAUGAACAUUCAUAGGUAGAUAAUCUAGAUCUGACAUGAGUUGCUCUAUGGUCAGCUUCUGAUGCGAUUUUAUUUGUAACUGUUGUUAGGCCAGACAAAUAGUUGGUUCGGCUUUUCUUUGAAGACCGAGUAUAGGCCGGAAAUGGAGGAGGAUGAAAUCUGUUAGCUCGAUCUCAUUGGCAUGACUAUUUUUGUCAAGGUACAUAUAAUAUAUAUCCUGCUUGAUGUCCCCCCUAGGUUUUUGUGAUGUGUUUCACUUGUUGAAUUCCAUUUAAAAAUAAAAUCACAACAUGAUCAAGGUAAAAAAACAAAAUAGUAUCUACAUUAUUACUUUUUUAUGUAGAAUUGAAAAGUACUCCCUCUAUAAACUAAUAAAAGAUGUUUUAGACACUUGACAUAAGUGUCUAAAACGUCUUAUAUUACAUUACAGAGGUAGUAGUUGAUAAUCGAUGAAAAGUUGAUACGUCCAUUUUGCAUCAUAUUUUCCUACUGUUAUUUACAGUGUUUUUAUUCAAUAUAACACUUUGUGGAGUAAUUCUAAUGUCUUUUCUCUCAUAAUAUGCAAGGUUUACACAACGAGGGAGAUUACCGGCAGCUGGAAUUCUGGACCUGAAAAAGCUAUGUUAGAUAUACCAAUUCUGCACAUCUCCAAAUGACCUGAAAUUUUACAGAGAUUUAUUUUGGAAUAUAUAAAAAAUAUUGGAGAAAAGAAAUACCAGAGGGGGCCACCCAGGUGCCCACUAGGCACCAGGACACGCCUACCCCCUGGUGUGCCCUGGUGGGUAGUGGGCCCCCUGGCCAGCCUCCGUUGCCCAUCUUCUGCUAUAUAAGGUCAUUUGCCCUACAAAAAAUAAGGAGAGGACUUUUGGGAUGGAGCGCCGCCGUCUUGAGAUAGAACUUGGGCAGGAGCACUUUUGCUCUCCGGCGGAGCGAUUCCAUCACGGAUACUUCCCUCCGGGAGGGGGAAAUUGAAGCCAUCGUCAUCAUCAACGACCCUCUCAUCGUGGGAGGGCCAAUCUUCAUCAAAAUCUUCAACAACACCAUCUCAUCUCCAAAUCUUAGUUUGUCUCUUGUGUUCAAUCUUUGUAUCAAAAUCUCAGAUUGGUACCUAUGGGUGACUAGUAGUGUUGAUUACAUCUCGUAGUUGAUGCUAGAUGGUUUACUUGGUGGAAAAUUAUAUGUUUAUAUCCAUUAUGCAAUUCAAUACCCCUCUUGAGCAUGAAUAUGUUUUGUGAGUAGUUACUUUUGUUCUUGAGGACAUGGGAGAAGUCUUGUCAUAAGUAAUCAUGUGAAUUUGAUAUUCGUUCGAUAUUUUGAUGAUAUGUAUGUUGUGAUUCCCUUAGUGGUGUUAUGUGAACGUCGACUACAUGACACGUCACCAUCCUCGGGACAAAGGGAAUGCAUUGUGGAGUAGUUAUUAGAUGAUGGGUUGCUAGAGUGACAGAAGCUUAAAUCCUAGUUUAUGCGCUAUUCCGUAAGGGGCUGAUUUAGAUCCAUAAGUUUAAUGCUUUGGUUAGAUAUCAUCUUAAUUCUUCUUUCGUAGUUGCGGAUGAUUGUGAGAGGGGUUAAUCAUAAGUGGGAGGCUUGUUCAAGUAAUAACAUCACCCAAGCACCGAUCCACCCACAUAUCAUAUUAUCAAAGUAGCGAAGCAAAUCAAACAAACAUGAUGAAAGUGACUCGAUGAAAUUCCCGUGUAUCCUCAAGAACGCUUUGUUUACUAUAAGAGACCGUUCCGGCCUGUCCUUUGCUAUAAAAAGGAUUGGGCUACCUUGCUACACCUAUUGUUACUAUUGCUACUUAUUACUUGUUACAAAUUAUCUUGAUAUCAAACUACCUGUUACCGACAAUUUCAGUGCCUGCAGAAAUUACCUUGUUGAAAACCGCUUGUCAUUUCCUUCCGCUCCUCGUUGGGUUUGACACUCUUAUCGAAAGGAAGAUGAUACGUCUCCAAUGUAUCUAUAAUUUUUGAUUGCUCCAUGCUAUAUUAUAUUCUGUUUUGGACAUUAUUGGGCUUUAUUAUCCACUUUUAUAUUAUUUUUGGGACUAACCUAUUAACCGGAGGCCCAGCCCAGAAUUGUUGUUUUUUGCCUAUUUUAGGGUUUCGAAGAAAAGGAAUAUCAAACGGAGUCCAAACGGAAUGAAACCUUCAGGAACGUGAUUUUUGGAACGAACAAGAUCCACGAGACUUGGACCCUACGUCAAGCAACCAACAGGGAGGCCACGAGGUAGGGGGGCGCGCCUACCCCCCAGGCGCGCCCUCCACCCUCGUGGGCCCCCUGUUGCUCCACCAACAUACUUCUUCCUCCUAUAUAUACCUACGUACCCCCAAACGAUCAGAUACGGAGCCAAAACCCUAUUUCCACCGCCAUAACUUUCUAUAUCCACGAGAUCCCAUCUUGGGGCCUGUUUCGGAGCUCCGCCGAAGGGGGCAUCGAUCACGGAGGGCUUCUACAUCAACACCAUAGCCUCUCCGAUGAAGUGUGAGUAGUUUACCUCAGACCUUCAGGUCCAUAGUUAUUAGCUAGAUGACUUCUUCUCACUUUUUGGAUCUCAAUACAAAGUUCUCCCCUCUCUUGUGGAGAUCUAUUCGAUGUAAUCUUCUUUUGCGGUGUGUUUGUUGAGACCGAUGAAUUGUGGGUUUAUGAUCAAGUUUAUCUAUGAACAAUAUUUGAAUCUUCUCUGAAUUCUUUUAUGUAUGAUUGGUUACCUUUGCAAGUCUCUUCGAAUUAUCAGUUUGGUUUGGCCUACUAGAUUGAUCUUUCUUGCAAUGGGAGAAGUGCUUAGCUUUGGGUUCAAUCUUGCGGUGUCCUUUCCCAGUGACAGUAGGGGCAGCAAGUCACGUAUUUUAUUGUUGCCAUCGAGGAUAACAAGAUGGGGUUUUCAUCAUAUUGCAUGAGUUUAUCCCUCUACAUCAUGUCAUCUUGCUUAAAGCGUUACUCCGUUCUCUUGAACUUAAUACUCUAGAUGCAUGCUGGAUAGCAGUCGAUGUGUGGAGUAAUAGUAGUAGAUGCAGGCAGGAGUCGGUCUACUUGUCUCGGACGUGAUGCCUAUAUACAUGAUCAUACCUAGAUAUUCUCAUAACUAUGCUCGAUUCUGUCAAUUGCUCAACAGUAAUUUGUUCACCCACCAUAAAAUACUUAUGCUCUUGAGAGAAGCCACUAGUGAAACCUAUGGCCCCUGGGUCUAUCUUCAUCAUAUUAAUCUUCCGACACUUAGUUAUUUUCAUUGCCUUUUAUUUUACUUUGCAUCUUUAUCAUAAAAAUACCAAAAAUAUUAUCUUAUCAUAUCUAUCAGAUCUCACUCUCGCAAGUGACCAUGUAGGGAUUGGCAACCCCUUAUCGCGUUGGUUGCGAGGAUUUAUUUGUUUUGUGUAGGUGCGAGGGACUCACGCGUAGCCUCCUACUGGAUUGAUACCUUGGUUCUCAAAAACGGAGGGAAAUACUUACGCUACUUUGCUGCACCACCCUUUCCUCUUCAAGGGAAAACCAACACAAGUGCUCAAGAGGUAGCAAGAUGGAUUUCUAGUGCCGUUGCCGGGGAGGUCUACGCAAAAGUCAACACACCAAGUACCCAUCACAAACCCUUAUCUCCUGCAUUGCAUUAUUUGCCAUUUGCCUCUCGUUUUCCUCUCCCCCACUUCACCCUUGCCGUUUUAUUCACCCUCUCUCUCCGUCCUCCUUCUCUUUCCCUAUUUGCCUCCUUUUCCCGUUUCUUGUUUGCUCGUAUGGUUGGAAUAGUUGUUUAUUUAUUACUAAAUAGAGAACCUAAGAUCUAUGGAUCCUCAUCCGCUUUCUAAUCUUUUUAAGAGAUCCAAUUAUGAUGAACCAAUUGCUAGUGAGUUUUGUGCACUAGAUUAUCUUUAUGAGGUUUUGCUUGAAAUUCGUGAAUCUGAAAAGUGUGAUGAAUUACUUUAUGAAGCGAUUCACGAUAGAUCUUUGAAUAAAAAGCAUGAUUACAAUGAUUUUAUCAUAAAUUCUAUUUAUGUAAAUUGUGCUAAUAAUAUGCAACACCCUAAGCUUGGGGAUGCUAGUUUUGCUAUGUCCUCUACUUGUUGCAAUGAUCAUGAUUGGGGUGAUUCUUCUUAUGAUCUUGAAAAUUUAUUUAAGCCCCAUGAUGAAUAUGAGAUUGAUAAUAGUGUUUGAAAUAUUAUUGAAAGUGGGUUUGGAAGAGUGUCAACUUUAGAUCCCUCAUAUUUGGAGAAUGUUCAAUCUUAUGAAAAUUUUGAUAAAAGUGGGUUUGGAAAAGUCAUGACUUUAGUUAAUCCCACUAUUUUGGAAGAGUGUCAACUUUGCAUGCAUGUGGAUCAUGUUGAAAACAUUUUGUGUGAUAGCUAUUUUGUUGAAUUUGCUUAUGAUCCUACAUGUAAUCAUUAUGAGAGAGGAAAAUAUGGUGGUAGAAAAUUUCAUGUUACUAAAUUGCCUCUCGUUAUGUUGAGAUUGCUAUUGUUUCUUUCCGCUUUAUUGCAUAUGCUAGUUUUUGCUUGCCUCAAUAAUUUGUUUGACUAUAAGAUGCCUAUGCAUAGGAAGUAUGUUAGACUUAGAUGUGUUUGUCACAUGUUUUAUGAUGCUCUCUUUGUGCUUCAAUUCUUUCCUUUCAUGUGAGCAUCAUUGAAAUAUUAUGCCUAGCUAUAAGGCUUUAAAGAAAAGCGCUUGUUGGGAGACAAUCCAAUAUUUUUACUUGCUAUUAUUAAAUAAAUAAUUUGUAUACCCUCUGUUUUGGUUGUGUUUUUUGUGUUAAAUUAGUGUUUGUGCCAAGUAGAACCAUUGGGAAGACUUGGGGAAAGUCUUGUUAAUCUUGCUGUAAAAAGCAGAAACUUUAGCGCUCAUGAGAACUGCUGCCAUUUUUAUUUGGAAAGUGAUAUUUAGUUAAUUCUUUUUUAAGAUGAUUAAUAGAUAAAUUUCUCACGUACAGAAAUUUAUUUUAGAAUUUUUGGGGUUCCAGAUCUUGCGCUAGGUACAGAUUACUACAGACUGUUCUGUUUUUGACAGAUUCUGUUUUUUGUGUGUUGUUUACUUAUUUUGAUGAAUCUAUGGCUAGUAAAAUAGUUUAUAAACCAUAGAUAAGUUGGAAUAAAUUAGGUUUAACACCAAUAUAAAUAAAGAAUGAGUUCAUUACAGUACCUUGAAGUGGUCUUUUGUUUUCUUUCGCUAACGGAGCUCACGAGAUUUUCUACUUUAAGUUUUGUGUUGUGAAGUUUUCAAGUUUUGGGUAAAGAUUUGAUGGAUUAUGGAACAAGGAGUGGCAAGAGCCUAAGCUUUGGGAUUCCCAUGGAACCCCCAAGAUAAUCUAAGGACACCUAAAAGCCAAAGCUUGGGGAUGCCCCGGAAGGCAUCCCCUCUUUCGUCUACUUCUAUCGGUAACUUUACUUGGAGCUAUAUUUUUAUUCACCACAUGAUAUGUGUUUUGCUUGGAGCGUCUUGUAUGAUUUGAGUCUUUGCCUUUUAAUUUACCACAAUCAUCUUUGCUGUACACACCUUUUGAGAGAGACACACAUGAUUCGGAAAUUAUUAGAAUACUCUAUGUGUUUCACUUAUAUGUUUUGAGUUAUAUAGUUUUGCUCUAGUGCUUCACUUAUAUCUUUUAGAGCACGAUGGUGGAUUUGUUUUAUAGAAACUAUUGAUCUCUCAUGAUUCGCUUAGAUUAUUUUGAGAGUCUUAAAUAGCAUGGUAAUUUGCUUAAAUAAUCCUAAUAUGCUAGGUAUACAAGAUUAGUAAUAAAAUUAUCUUAUGAGUGUGUUGAAUACUAUGAGAAGUUUGAUACUUGAUAAUUGUUUUGAGAUAUGGAGAUGGUGAUAUUAGAGUCAUGCUAGUUGAGUAGUUGUGAAUUUGAGAAAUACUUGUGUUAAAGUUUGUGAUUCCCGAAGCAUGCACAUAUGAUGAUCCGUUAUGUGAUGAAGUCGGAACAUGAUUUAUUUAUUGAUUGUCUUCCUUAUGAGUGGCGGUCGGGGACGAGCGAUGGUCUUUUCCUACCAAUCUAUCCCCCUAGGAGCAUGCGCAUAAUAGUUUGCUUUGAUAACUUGUAGAUUUUUGCAAUAAGUAUGUGAGUUCUUUAUGACUAAUGUUGAGUCCAUGGAUUAUACGCACUCUCACCCUUCCACCAUUGCUAGCCUCUCUAAUACCGCACACCUUUCGCCGGUAUCAUACACCCACCAUAUACCUUCCUCAAAACAGCCACCGUACCUACCUAUCAUGGCAUUUCCAGAGCCAUUACGAGAUAUAUUGCCAUGCAACUUUCCACCGUUCCGUUUACUAUGACACGCUCCAUCAUUGUCAUAUUGCUUUGCAUGAUCAUGUAGUUGACAUUGUAUUUGUGGCAAAGCCACCGUUCAUAAUUCUUUCAUACAUGCCACUCUUGAUUCAUUGCAUAUCCCGGUACACCGCCGGAGGCAUUCAUAUAGAGUCAUAUCUUGUUCUAAGUAUCGAGUUGUAAUUCUUGAGCUGUAAGAAAAUAAAAGUGUGAUGAUCAUCAUUAUUAGAGCAUUGUCCCAAGUGAGGAAAGGAUGAUGGAGACUAUGAUUCCCCCACAAGUCGGGAUGAGACUCCGGACGAAAAAUAAAAUAAAAAAGAGGCCAUAAAAAAAGUGAAAGGCCCAAAUAAAAAAAUGAGAGAAAAAGAGAGAAGGGACAAUGCUACUAUCCUUUUACUACACUUGUGCUUCAAAGUAGCACCAUGAUCUUCAUGAUAGAGAGUCUCCUAUGAUAUCACUUUCAUAUACUAGUGGGAAUUUUUCAUUAUAGAACUUGGCUUGUAUAUUCCAAUGAUGGGCUUCCUCAAAAUGCCCUAGGUCUUCGUGAGCAAGCGAGUUGGAUACACACCCACUUAGUUUCUUUUGUUGAGCUUUCAUAUACUUAUAGCUCUAGUGCAUCCGUUGCAUGGCAAUCCCUACUCACUCACAUUGAUAUCUAUUGAUGGGCAUCUCCAUAGCCCGUUCAUACGCCUAGUUGAUGUGAGACUAUCUUCUCCCUUUUUGUCUUCUCCACAACCACCAUUCUAUUCCACCUAUAGUGCUAUAUCCAUGGCUCACGCUCAUGUAUUGCUUGAAGAUUGAAAAAGUUUGAGAAUGUAAAAAGUAUGAAACAAUUGCUUGGCUUGUCAUCGGGGUUGUGCAUGAUUUAAAUACUUUGUGUGGUGAAGAUAGAGCAUAGCCAGACUAUAUGAUUUUGUAGGGAUAACUUUCUUUGGCCAUGUUAUUUUGAAGAGACAUAAUUGCUUAGUUAGUAUGCUUGAAGUAUUAUUAUUUCCAUGUCAAUAUUAAAUUUUUGUCUUGAAUCUUUCGGAUCUGAAUAUUCAUACCACAAUUAAGAAGAAUUACAUUGAAAUUAUACCAAGUAGCAUUCCACAUCAAAAAUUCUGUUUUUAUCAUUUACCUACUCGAGGACGAGCAGGAAUUAAGCUUGGGGAUGCUUGAUACGUCUCCAACGUAUCUAUAAUUUUUGAUUGCUCCAUGCUAUAUUAUAUUCUGUUUUGGACAUUAUUGGGCUUUAUUAUCCACUUUUAUAUUAUUUUUGGGACUAACCUAUUAACCAGAGGCCCAACCUAGCAUUACUGUUUUUUUUUCCUAUUUUAGGGUUUCGAAGAAAAUGAAUAUCAAACGGAGUCCAAACGGAAUGAAACCUUCGAGAACGUGAUUUUUGGAACGAACAAGAUCCAGGAGACUUCGACCCUACGUCAAGCAACCAACAGGGAGGCCAUGAGGUAGGGGGGCGCGCCUACCCCCCCAGGCGCGCCCUCCACCCUCGUGGGCCCCUUGUUGCUCCAUAGACGUACUUUUUCCUCCUAUAUAUACCUACGUACCCCCAAACGAUCAGAUACAGGGCCAAAACCCUAUUUCCACCGCCGUAAAUUUUUGUAUCCACGAGAUCCCAUCUUGGGGCCUGUUUCAGAGCUCCGCCGGAGGGGGCAUCGAUCACGGAGGGCUUCUACAUCAACACCAUAGCCUCUCCGAUGAAGUGUGAGUAGUCUACCUUAGACCUUCGGGUCCAUAGUUAUUAGCUAGAUGGCUUCUUCUCACUUUUUGGAUCUCAAUACAAAGUUCUCCCCCUCUCUUGUGGAGAUCUAUUCGAUGUAAUCUUCUUUUGUGGUGUGUUUGUUGAGACCGAUGAAUUGUGGGUUUAUGAUCAAGUUUAUCUAUGAACAAUAUUUGAAUCUUCUCUGAAUUCUUUUAUGUAUGAUUGGUUAUCUUUGCAAGUCUCUUCGAAUUAUCAGUUUGGUUUGGCCUACUAGAUUGAUCUUUCUUGCAAUGGGAGAAGUGCUUAGCUUUGGGUUCAAUCUUGCGGUGUCCUUUCCAAAUGACAGUAGGGACAGCAAGGCACGUAUUGUAUUGUUGCCAUCGAGGAUAACAAGAUGGGGUUUUCAUCAUAUUGCAUGAGUUUAUCCCUCUACAUCAUGUCAUCUUGCUUAAAGCGUUACUCUGUUCUCUUGAACUUAAUACUCUAGAUGCAUGCUGGAUAGCGGUCGAUGUGUGGAGUAAUAGUAGUAGAUGCAGGCAGGAGUCGGUCUACUUGUCUCGGACUUGAUGCCUAUAUACAUGAUCAUACCUAGAUAUUCUCAUAACUAUGCUCAAUUCUGUCAAUUGCUCAACAAUAAUUUGUUCACCCACCGUAAAAUACUUAUGCUCUUGAGAGAAGCCACUAGUGAAACCUAUGGCCCCCGGGUCUAUCUUCAUCAUAUUAAUCUUCCAACACUUAGUUAUUUUCAUUGCCUUUUAUUUUACUUUGCAUCUUUAUCAUAAAAAUACCAACAAUAUUAUCUUAUCAUAUCUAUCAGAUCUCACUCUCGUAAGUGACCGUGUAGGGAUUGACAACCCCUUAUCGCGUUGGUUGCGAGGAUUUAUUUGUUUUGUGUAGUUGCGAGGGACUCGCGCGUAGCCUCCUACUGGAUUGAUACCUUGGUUCUCAAAAACUGAGGGAAAUACUUACGCUACUUUGCUGCACCACCCUUUCCUCUUCAAGGGAAAACCAACGCAAGUGCUCAAGAGGUAGCAGAAUACGAUUGAUCCCCUAUACUUGUGGGUCAUCAAGACUCUUUUCUGGCAUCAUUGCCGAGGAGUGAAGUGCCUUUGGUAAGGAAAAAUUUAUAUUACGUGCUGAAAUUUACUGUCACUUGUUACUAUAGAAAGAAAUCCUUUGAGGGGGUUGUUCGGGGUAUCUUCACCUCGACCGGAGACACAAAGAGUUGCUCCUCAACCUACUACACCUACUGAAAAUAUUGGUUAUGAGAUUCCUUCGGGUAUGAUAGAGAAACUGCUAGCUAAUACUUAUGUAGGAGAUGGAACACUACAUCCUGAUAUGCACUUGAUCUAUGUGGAUGAAGUUUGUGGAUUAUUUAAGCUUGUAGGUUUACCCGCAGAUGAAGUUAAGAAGAAGGUUUUCCCUUUAUCUUUGGGGGGAAAGGCCUUGACAUGGUACAUGCUAUGUGAUGAUAUUGGAGCUUGGGACUGGAAUCGAUUGAAAUUGGAAUUUCAUCAAAAGUUUUAUCAUAUGCAUCUAGUUCAUCGUGAUCGGAAUUACAUAUACAAUUUUUGGCCUCGUGAAGGAGAAAGUAUCACUCAAUCUUGGAGGAGGCUUAAAUACAUGAUGUAUACAUGCCCAAAUCAUGAGCUCUCGAGGGAAAUUAUCUUACAUAAUUUUUAUGCUCGGUUUUCUCAUGAUAAUCAAACCAUGCUCGAUUCUUCUUCGACUCGCUCUUUUAUGAAGAAAACUAUUGAAUUUAGAUGGAAUCUUCUAGAAAGAAUUAAAUGCAACUCUAAAGAUUGGGAACUCGACAAAGGUAAUGAGUUAGCUAUAACUCUUAAGUUUGAUUGUGUUAAAUCUUGUAUGGAUACCGAUGCUUUUCACAAGUUUAGCACUAAAUUUGGAUUUGACUUUGAUAUAGUAGCCUCCUUUUGUAAAUUAUUUGCUACUCAUGUUGAUCUCCUUAAGGAGAAAUGGUUUAAAUUUCACCCACCUAUUAAAGAAAAGACUGAGGAGCCAGUUAUAAUUAAAGACGAAACUAUCAUUUACAAUGCUAAUCCAGUUGUGCCUACUGCUUAUCUUGAAAAACCACCUUUCACUGUUAGGAUAAAGGAACAUAUUAAGGUUUCAACCAUGGUUAAGAAAAGUAAUAUUAGAGCACCUAGACCCUCUGAACAAAUUAAAGCAGAACCUAGUAUUGCUAUGGUUAAAGGUCUCUUGGUUGAUAGUAUUGAUGGGCAUGCUAUUUAUUUCUGUGAUGAAGCUGCUAGAAUUGCUAAACCCGAUACUAAAGAUAAGAAUAAACCCAUUAUUGGCAUGCCUAUUAUCUCAGUUAAAAUAGGAGAUCAUUGUUAUCAUGGUUUAUGUGAUAUGGGUGCUAGUGUCAGUGCUAUCCCUUUUACUUUAUACCAAGAAAUUAUGAAUGAUAUUGCAUCUGCUGAAAUAGAAGACAAUGAUGUUACUAUUAAGCCUGCUAAUAGAGACACUAUCACACCACUUGGGAUUGUUAGAGAUGUUGAAGUCUUGUGUGGGAAGAUAAAAUAUCCCACUGAUUUUCUAGUUCUUGGUUCUCCACAAGAUGAUUUUUGUCCCAUUAUAUUUGGUAGACCUUUCUUGAACAUUGUUAAUGCUAUGAUAGAUCGCAAGAAAGAAACCGUCAGUGUUAAUUUUGGUGAUGUAUCUCAUGAGUUUAAUUUCUCUAAGUUUCGUUGGCACCCUCAUGAUAAAGAAUUGCCUAGUAAGGAUGAAAUAAUUGGUCUUGCUUCUAUUGCCGUACCCCCUACUGAUCCGUUAGAACAAUAUUUAUUAGACCAUGAAAAUGACAUGCACUUCCAUGAAAGAAAAAUGAAAUAGGUAGGACGUUAUUUGAUCAACAACCUAUUCUUAAACAUAUUUUCCCUGUUGAAACUCUAGGGGGCCCUCCUCCACCUAAGGGUGACUCUAUGUUUGAAUUAAAACAAUUACCUGAUACUUUGAAAUAUGCUUAUCUUGAUGAAAAGAAGAUAUAUACUGUUAUUAUUAGUGCUAACCUUACAGAGCAUGACGAAAAGAGAUUAUUAAAAACUCUAAGGAAGCACCGAGCUGCUAUUGGAUAUACUCUUGCUGAUCUUAAGGGCAUCAGUCCCACUCUCUGUCAACACAAGAUUAGUAUGGAACCCGAUGCUAAACCGAUUGUUGAUCAUCAACGACGAUUAAAUCCUAAGAUGAAAGAAGUGGUAAUAACUGAAAUACAGAAGCUUAUGGAAGCAGGUAUAAAUUAUCCUAUAGCUGAUAGUAGAUCGGUAAGUCCUAUUCAUCAUGUCCCUAAGAAAGGAGCCAUUACUGUUGUUCCUAAUGAUAAAAAUGAACUUAUCCCACAGGGAAUCAUGACUGGUUAUAGAAUGGUAAUUGAUUUCAGAAAAUUAACAAAGCCACUAGGAAAGUGAUACGUCUCCAACGUAUCUAUAAUUUAUGAAGUAUUCAUGCUGUUAUUUUAUCAUUCUUGGAUGUUUUACAAUCAUUUUAUAGAAACUUUAUAUCAUUUUUUUGGGACUAACAUAUUGACCCAGCGCCCAGUGCUAGUUGCUGUUUUUUGCUUGUUUUUACAUCGCAGGAAAUCAAUGUCAAACGGAGUCCAAACACCGUGAAACUUUUUGUGGAUUUUUUAUGGACCAGAAGACCACCAAUGGGCCAGAGAAGCACCUGGGGGGAUGCCCCGAGGGGGGCACAACCCACCAGGGCGCGCCUGGGGGCCCAGGAGAGCCCAGGUGGGUUGUUCCCACCUCAGUGGCCUCCUGCACCCCUCUUUACCCUACAAAUUCCCAAAUAUUUCGAAAACCCUUGGGGUUAACCUAGAUCAGAAGUUCCACCGCCGCAAGGCUCUGUAGCCACCGAAAACCAAUCUAGACCCCGUUCUGGCACCCUGCCGGAGGGGGGAAUCAUCUCCGGUGGCCAUCUUCAUCAUCCAGGCGGCCACCACGAUGAGGAGGGAGUAGUCCACCCUCGGGGUUGAGGGUUUGUACCAGUAGCUAUGUGUUUAAUAUCUCUCUCUCUCAUGUUCUUGAUAUGUCACGAUCUUGAUGUAUCGCGGGCUUUGUUAAUAUAAGUCGAAUCAGAUGGUGUUUGCCCCUCUUUAUCUUGUUGUGAUGAAUUGAGUUUUCCCUUUGAGGUUUCAUUUUAUCGGAUUGAAUACUUUUAUGGAUUUGAGAGCACUUGAUAUAUGUCUUUCAUAUGAAUACUCAUGGUGACAAUGGGGUAUAGUAUUGAUUCACUUGAUAUAUGUUUUGGCACUCAACUCGCGGAUUCCCGAGGUGACAUUGGGGUAAUCUAUGCAUAGGGUUGAUGCAUGUUCUUGUCUUUGUUUCUACGGUAGAAGUCUUGGGGCACUCUUUGAAGUUCUAUGUGUUGGAUUGAGUAUUAUGAAUAUGAAUUUGCUUUGGAGUUAUUUAGUAUGAACUCUAGGAUAGAUCGAACGGAAAGAAUAGCUUUGUUCUAUUUUAAUACGAACUCUUGAAUAGAUCGAUCGAAAAGAAUAGCUUUCAGGUGGUUUCGUACCCUACAAACAAUUUAUUCUUAUGUUCUCCGCUAGAUAGGAACUUUGGAGUGAUUCUUCAUCGCACUUUGAGGGGUGGUUAUAUGAUCCAAUUAUAUUAGCAUUGUUGAGAGGUUGCACUAGCGAAAGUAUGGACCCUAGGCCUCAUUUUCAAGCAUUGCAAUACCGUUUUUGUGCCCGUUUACUAUUUGCUACCUUGAUGUUUUUAUUUAUUCAAAUUAUAAAAAUAUAUCUCUACCAUCAAUAUUACACUUUUAUCACCAUCACUUCACCGAACUAGUGCACCUAUACAAUUUGCCAUUGUAUUAGGUGUGUUGGGGACACAAGAGAUUUCUUGUAUUUGGUUGCAGGGUUGUUUGAGAGAGACCAUCUUCAUCCUACGCCUCCCACGGAUUGAUAAACCUUAGGUCACCCACUUGAGGGAAUAUUGCUACUGUCCUACAACACUCUUUGCUUGGAGGCCUAACACGAGUCUACAAGAAUAAAUUGCGUAGUAGACAUCAGAAAGAUCAUUACCCUUUGCCAUUUAUUGAUCAAAUGUUAGAAAGAUUAUCUAAGCACACACACUUUUGCUUUCUUGAUGGAUAUUCUGGUUUCUCUCAAAUACCUGUAUCGCAAUCUGAUCAAGAGAAAACCACUUUUACUUGCCCUUUUGGAACUUAUGCUUAUAGACGUAUGCCUUUUGGUUUAUGCAAUGCACCUGCUACCUUUCAAAGAUGUAUGACAGCUAUAUUCUCUAACUUUUGUGAAAAGAUUGUUGAGGUUUUCAUGGAUGAUUUUUCUAUUUACAAAACUUGUUUUGAUGAUUGCUUAAGCAACCUUGAUCGAGUUUUGCAGAGAUGUGAACAAACUAAUCAUGUCUUGAACUGGGAGAAGUGCCCUUUUAUGGUGAACGGAGGUAUUAUCUUGGGGCACAAAAUUUCUGGAUGAGAAUUGAGGUGGAUAAAGCUAAAGUUGAUGCAAUUGAGAAAAUGUCGUGUCCUAAAGAUAUUAAAGGUAUAAGAAGUUUUGUUGCUCAUGCUGGUUUCUAUAGGAGAUUCAUUGAAGACUUCUCUAAAAUUCCUAGGUCUCUUACCAAUCUCUUGCAAAAGGAUGUUCCAUUUGUUUUUUAUGAUGAUUGUGUAGAAGCCUUUGAAACACUUAGGAAAGCCUUAACUUCUGCACCUAUUGUCCAACCACCUGAUUGGAACUUACCCUUUGAAAUUAUGUGUGAUGCUAGUGAUUAUGUUGUUGGUGCUGUUCUAGGACAAAGAAUUGAUAAGAAAUUAAAUGCUAUUCAUUAUGCUAAUAAGACUCUAGACAAUGCUCAAAUAAAUUAUGCUACUACUAAGAAAUAAUUUCUAGCAGUAGUGUUUGCUUGUGAUAAAUUCAGAUCUUACAUAGUUGACUCUAAAGUGAUUGUUCACACUGAUCAUGCUGCUAUUAAAUACCUUAUGGAAAAGAAAGAUGCUAAGCCUAGACUCGUUAGGUGGGUUCUUUUGCUACAAGAAUUUGACUUGCAUAUUACUGAUAGGAAGGGAGUUGAGAAUCCCGUAGCUGAUAACUUGUCUAGGUUAGAAAAUAUCCUUGAUGACCCACUACCUAUUGAUGAUAGCUUCCCUGAUGAAAAACUAGCUGUCAUAAAUGCUUCUCAUAAUACUCCUUGGUAUGCAGACUAUGCUAAUUAUAUUGUUGCUAAAUUUGUACCACCUAGAUUCACUUACCAACAAAAAGAAAACAAUUCUUCGAUUUAAGACAUUACUUUUGAGAUGAACCACAUCUUUAUAAAGGAGUAGAUGGUAUUAUUAGACGUUGUAUACCUGAGCAUGAAUAGGAACAAAUCCUACAUAAAUUUCACUCCGAAGCCUAUGGAGGACAUCAUGUGGGAGAUAGAACUGCACAUAAGGUACUACAAUAUGGUUUCUUUGGGCCUACUCUUUUCGAGGAUGCUCGUAAGUUUGUUUUAUCUUGUGAUGAAUGUUAAAUAAUAUGUAAUAUUGGUAGACGUCAGGAAAUGCCUAUGAAUUAUUCACUUGUUAUUGAACCAUUUGAUGUUUGGGGCUUUGAUUAUAUGGGACCUUUUCCUUCCUCUAAUGGGUGUACACAUAUUUUGGUUGUUGUUGAUUAUGUCACUAAGUGGGUAGAAGCUAUUCCAACUAGCAGUGCUGAUCAUAAAACCUCCAUUAAAAUGCUUAAAGAAGUUAUUUUCUCAAGGUUUGGAGUCCCUAGAUAUUUAAUGACUGAAGGUGGUUCACAUUUUAUUCAUGGUGCUUUCCGUAAAUUGCUUGCUAAAUAUGAUGUCAACCAUAGAAUUGCAUCCCCUUAUCAUCCUCAAUCUAGUGGACAAGUUGAACUGAGCAAUAGAGAAAUAAAAUUAAUAUUGCAAAAGACUAUCAACAGAUCUAGGAAAAAUUGGUCUACUUGAUGAUGCAUUUUGGGCUUAUAGAACAACUUAUAAAAAUCCAAUGGGUAUGUCUCCAAUAAAAUGGUAUACGAAAAAGCUUGUCAUUUGCCUCUUGAGUUAGAAUAUAAAGCAUAUUGGGCAAUUAAAGAACUCAAUUAUGACUUCAAACUUGCCGGCGGAAAUAGGUUAUUUGAUAUUAUCUCACUAGAUGAAUUGGGAACCCAAGCCUAUGAAAAUGCCAAACUAUUCAAAGAAAAAGUCAAAAUAUGUCAUGAAAAAAGAAUCCAAAAGCAUGAAUUCAAAGUGGGUGAGUAUGUUCUAUUAUACAAUUCUCAUUUUAGAUUUUUUGCAGGAAAACUUCUCUCCAAGUGGGAAGGACCAUAUAUCACUGAAGAAGUUUAUCGCUCUGGGCUAUUAAGAUCAACAAUGCCGAAGACACUAAUCCGAAGGUGGUCAAUGGACAAAGAAUUAAGCAUUAUAUUUCAGAUACACCUAUUAAUGUUGAAACUAACAUUAUUCAAACCAUGACACCGGAGGAAUACAUAAAAGAGAUCUUUCAGAACAGUCCAGAACCCUGAAAAGGAAGAGGUACGUGAUACGGUAAGUAAACCGACUCCAAAAAUUCUACAAAAAUAUUUUUUGUCAGUUUUGGAAUAUUAAGAAAAAAAAUAAGAAACACCUGAGAAGGCAACCCAGGUGCCCACUAGGCACCAGGGUGCGCCUGCCCCUCCUAGCUCGCCCUGGUGGGUAGUGGGUCCCUCGGGAACCUUCCCGGCGCCAUUUCCGUAUGGUGUACUUGUUUCCCAAGAUAAAAAUUCUUUAUAUAUACCACCGGAUGAUUUGAAUACCGCAUCACGGAAAUAUCAUGUGUUCUUGUGUUGUGUUGUUUUCUAUCAGAUCUAGAUCGCCAUGGCUUCAACAAGCUCUUUCAAGGACAAGUUAUACAAGAAGGUCAUCAACCCCUACCUACCGGAGGUGAUGAAGAACGCUCAAGCCAUUUAGAUGCAUGAGAGGGUGCUCCACAUCCGGGAUGUUCAAGGGCCCAAGAAGACGGGAAGCGUGGAGGCCAGGCUCGAAGCAGUGGAGCAGGAGAUCUUCAAGUGCCAAGGGAUGGUGGAGUGUGGACUCGGUGCCAACUACUCCAUGAUCACGGAAUUCACGAGUGAUCACAAGGUGGAUGGACAGUCCAUGAAGGACAUCGUCUUCAGCUUCAAAGAACAAAUCAAUUAUCAGAAAGGCGAAAUAUAUGAUCUUGAAAAUCAAAAUUUUGAGUAUGAAGCAAGGUUCAAAGGUAUGAGUUUAGCUGCAAGUUUCAGGAUUCAGGAGCCUUGUGCAUCCUCUUAUGAUGGUGAACCCCUGCCAUGGAAGAAGGAGGACAAGCCUAUCACCUCGUCACCACCACCAUCACCAAAGAAGGAGACUUAAGCACACGGGUAUAGGCACUCCCCUUGGCUUGUGCCAAGCUUGGGGGAGGUGCCCGGUAUCAUAUCACCAUCACUUUUAUUAUCUUUACCUAUCUUAGUUCAAGCCUUAGUAAUUGCGUGAUUUAGUAGAAUAAAAGUUUAACAUGAUCUAUUUUCGAGUGCCAGUUUUAUGAUCUAUCCAUCCAUGUAUUCGAGUUGAGAGUUAUACAAUAAAGUUUAGUUUGAGUUUUUGCUUCUUUACUUUUAUGUUUCAAUCAAAAUAAAGAAAAUGAUGAAAAAAAGGUCAUAUGCUAAUCUUAUAGAAAGUAAUGACAUUACAUAAGGAAAAGUAUAAGUGGUAAAAUCUAUUGAAAGUUGACAAACAUAGCAUUUGAAAAUGAUGCAAUUCAUGAAAGUAUUAAUAAGGGAAGAGAAUAUUCACAUGCAAAUAUACUAUCUUGAACAUAUUUUAUAAUUAUGAGCCCCCACUAGUAUUUUAUGUCAAAUUGUUGAUGUUGGACAAGGAAGACAACGUAUUGAUUUAUGUUUGUUCAUAUUCACAUAGAAGUUAUAUUGUCAUAGAUCCUCCAACAUGUGGUGCUUGCCCAAUAUAUUUGCUAGCCAAAAAUCCGCACCAAGUAGAUAUACUACUUGUGCAUCCAAAAACCUUAAACCCAAUUUCAUGUUAUGAGAGUCUACUAUACCCACAUAUGGAUUGAAUAAGAUCCUUCAAGUAAGUUGUCACGGGUGCAUAAAGCAAUAAAAAUUGCUACUAAAUAUGUUUGAUCUUUUAUUGUAAAGGAAAAUAAGCAUUGUACAAACUUGUGAUGGCAAAGUAAUAAAAGUGACGGACUGCGUAAUAAAGGUUGCUAUCAUAAGGGGCAAUAUAACAUGACGUUCUUUUACAUUAAGAGAUUGUGCAUCCAAAACCAAAAAGCGCAUGACAACCUCUGCUUUCCUAUGCGAAGGGCCUGUCUUUUACUUUUAUGCAUUUACUUUUUAUGCAAGAGUCAAACGUGUUCUCCUCUAUUCUUUUUAUUUUUAUCCUUUGCAAGCAUCAUGUGGUGGGGAAAGAUCUAGGCACAUAUAUCCAGUUGGAUAUGGGUGAUCAUGAGUUAUUAUUGUUGACAUCACCCUUAAGGUGAAUAAGCUGGGAGGCGAAACUAUAAGCACCUAUCUUUCUAUGUGUCUGGCUGAAGCCUUUUGCUCCAUAUAUGUGGUGUGAGUGUUAGCAAUCAUAGAAGACUAAAUGAUGGUUGAGUAUGUGGACUUGCUAAAGGCUCUGACAUGAGACCCUUCCUGAAAAUAUGAUGAAUUGCAAUUGCAUUGUUGACGGAGAACAUAGUUUGUUAGUUUUUAAGAAAGUUUAUGCUUUAUACUUCGAUGCUGUGAUGAAUUGUUACUUGCUCAUGAGAAGUUUUAUGAUAAAGUUUAUUGUUGUUAUAAUAAUGAUCAUGAUGCUACUAUGCCCGUAUUUUGUUUUAUCGACACCUGAUGUCUACUACGCAACCUUCUUCUUGUAGACUCGUGUUGGGCCUCCAAGCGCAGAGUUUUGUAGGACAGUAGAAAUUUUCCCUCAAGUGGAUGACCUAAGGUUUAUCAAUCCAUGGGAGGCGUAGGAUGAAGAUGGUAUCUCUCAAACAACCCUGCAACCAAAUAACAAAGAGUCUCUUGUGUCCCCAACACACCCAAUACAAUGGUAAAUUGUAUAGGUGCACUAGUUCGGCGAAGAGAUGGCGAUACAAGUGUAAUACAGAUAGUAGAUAUAGGUUUUGUAAUCUAAAAAUAUAAAAGCAGAAAGGUAGAAAGUAGUAAAAGUGAGCAAAAACGGUAUUGCGAUGCUUGAAAACAAGGCCUAGGGUUCAUACUUCCACGAGUGCAGAGUCUCUCAACAAUGAUAACAUAAUUAAAUCAUAUGACAAUCCCUCAACGUGUGACAAAGAGUCACUCCAAAGUUCCUAUCGCGGAGAACACAAAAAACAAAUCUUGUAGGCUAUGAAACCACCUCAAAGUUAUUCUUCCUGAUCAAUCUUUUGAGUUAUUCCUGUAAGUGUCACAAACAACCCCAGAGUUCAUACUAAAAUAACACCAUAUGAUACACAUCAAUCAACCCUAAUGUCACCUAGGUACUCCAAUGUCACCACAACUAUCCGUGGGUCAAUUAUACGAUAUGCAUCAAACAACUUCAGAUUCAUAAUAUUCAAUCCAACACAAAGAACCUCAAAGAGUGUCCCAGGAUUUCUACCGGAGAAACAAGGAUGAAAUCUGUUGGGGAACGUAGUAAUUUCAAAAAAAUUCCUAUGCACACGAAGGAUCAUAGUGAUGCAUAGAAAUGAGAGGGAAGAGUGUGUCCACGUACCCUCGUAGACCGAAUACGGCAGCGUUAGCACAACGCGGUUGAUGUAGUCAUACGUCUUCACGAUUCGACCGAUCCAAGUACUGAACGCACGACACCUCCGAGUUCUCCACACGUUCAACUCGAUGACGUCCCGUGAGCUCCGAUCCAGCAAAGCUUCACAGGAGAGUUUCGUCAGCAUGACGGCGUGGUGACGGUGAUGAUGAUGCUACUGACACAGGGCUUCGCCUAAGCACCACUACGAUAUGAUCGAGGUGGAUUAUGGUGGAGGGGGGGCACUGCACACGGCUAAGAGAUCAAUGAUCAAUUGUUGUGUCUAUGGAGUGCCCCCUGCCCCCGUAUAUAAAGGAGCAAGGGGGAGGAGGCGGCCGGCCAGGGAGAGGCGCGCCAAGGGGAGUCCUACUCCCAUCGGGAGUAGGAUUCCCCCUUUUCCAACUUGGAGUAGGAGAGGGAAGGAAGAGGAAGGAGGGAGGAAGGAAAGGGGGGUCGUCUCCCCUCCCAAUUCGGAUUGGGCUUGGGGGGAGGGGGGCGCCACCUCCCUUGCUCCUUUCCCCUCCAUUCCACUAAGGCCCAUAUACCUCCCGGGGGGUUCCGAUAACCUCCCGGUGUUCCGGUAUAUUCCCGAUCUCACCCGGAACCAUUCCGGUAUCCAAAUAUAGUCGUCCCAUAUAUCGAUCUUUAUGUCUUGAUCAUUUCGAGACUCCUCGUCAUGUCCGUGAUCAUAUUCGGGACUCCGAACUACCUUCGGUACAUCAAAACACAAAAACUCAUAAUACCGAUCGUCACCAAACUUUAAGCGUGCGGACCCUACGGGUUCGAGAACUAUGUAGACAUGACCGAGACAUGUCUCUGGUCAAUAACCAAUAGCGGAAACUGGAUGCUCAUAUUGGUUCCUACAUAUUCUACGAAGAUCUUUAUCGGUCAAACCGCAUAACAACAUACGUUGUUCCCUUUGUCAUCGGUAUGUUACUUGCGCGAGAUUCGAUCGUCGGUAUCUCAAUACCUACUUCAAUCUCGUUACCCGCAAGUCUCUUUACUCGUUCCAUAAUGCAUCAUCCCGCAACUAACUCAUUAGUUACAAUGCUUGCAAGGCUUAUAGUGAUGUCCAUUACCGAGUGGGCCCAGAGAUACCUCUCCGACAAUCAGAGUGACAAAUCCUAAUCUCGAAAUAUGCCAACUCAACAAGUACCUUCGGAGACACCUGUAGAGCACCUUUAUAAUCACCCAGUUAUGUUGUGACGUUUGGUAGCACACAAAGUGUUCCUCUGGUAAACGGGAGUUGCAUAAUCUCAUAGUCAUAGGAACAUGUAUAAGUCAUGAAGAAAGCAAUAGCAACAUACAAAACGAUCAAGUGCUAAGCUAACGGAAUGGGUCAUGUCAAUCACAUCAUUCUCCUAAUGAUGUGAUCCCAUUAAUCAAAUGACAACAAAUGUCUAUGGUUAGGAAACAUAACCAUCUUUGAUAAAUGAGCUAGUCAAGUAGAGGCAUACUAGUGACACUAUGUUUGUCUAUGUAUUCACACAUGUAUCAUAUUUCCGAUUAAUACAAUUCAAGCAUGAAUAAUAAACAUUUAUCAUGAUAUAAGGAAAUAAAUAAUAACUUUAUUAUUGCCUCUAGAGCAUAUUUCCUUCAGUCCCCCACUUGCACUAGAGUCAAUAAUCUAGAUCAGACAGUAAUGAUUCUAACACCCAUGGAGCCUUGGUGCUGAUCAUGUUUUGCUCGUGGAAGAGGCUUAGUCAACGGGUCUGCAACAUUUAGAUCCGUAUGUAUCUUGCAAAUCUCUAUGUCUCCCACCUGGACUUGAUCCCGGAUGGAUUUGAAGUGUCUCUUGAUGUGCUUGGUUCUCUUAUGAAAUCUGGAUUCCUUUGCCAAGGCAAUUGCACCAGUAUUGUCACAAAAGAUUUUCAUUGGACCCGAUGCACUAGGUACGACACCUAGAUCGGAUAUGAACUCCUUCAUCCAGACUCCUUCAUUCACUGCUUCGGAAGUAGCAAUGUACUCCGCUUCACAUGUAGAUCCCGCCACGACGCUCUAUUUAGAACUUCUCCAACUGACAGCUCCACUGUUCAAUAUGAACAUGUAUCCGGUUUGCGAUUUAGAAUCGUCCGGAUCAGUGUCAAAGCUUGCAUCCACGUAACCAUUUACGAUGAGCUCUUUGUCACCUCCAUAAACGAGAAACAUAUCCUUAGUCCUUUUCAGGUAUUUUAGGAUGCUCUUGACUGCUGUCCAAUGAUCCACUCCUGGAUUACUUUGGUACCUCCCUGCUAAACUAAUAGCAAGGCACACAUCAGGUCUGGUACACAACAUUGCAUACGUGAUAGAGCCUAUGGCUGAAGCAUAGGGAACAUCUUUCAUUUUUCUCUCUAUCUUCUGCAGUGGUCGGGCAUUUGAGUCUUCUCAGCUUCACACCUUGUAACACAGGCAAGAACCCUUUCUUUGCCUGAUCCAUUUUGAACUUCUUCAAAACUUUGUCAAGGUAUGUGCUUUGUGAAAUUCCAAUUAAGCGUCUUGAUCUAUCUCUAUAGAUCUUGAUGCCCAAUAUGUAAGCAGCUUCACCAAGGUCUUUCAUUGAAAAAAUCUUAUUCAAGUAUCCUUUUAUGCUACCCAGAAAUUCUAUAUCAUUUCCAAUCAAUAAUAUGUCAUCCACAUAUAAUAUUAGAAAUGCUACAGAGCUCCCACUCACUUUCUUGUAAAUACAUGCUUCUCCAAAAGUCUGUAUAAAACCAUAUGCUUUGAUCACACUAUCAAAACGUUUGUUCCAACUCCAAGAGGCUUGCACCAGUCCAUAAAUGGAUCGCUGGAGCUUGCACACUUUGUUAGCACCUUUUGGAUCGAUAAAACCUUCAGGUCGCAUCAUAUACAACUCUUCUUCCAGAAAUCCAUUCAGGAAUGCAGUCUUUACAUCCAUUUACCAAAUUUCAUAAUCAUAAAAUGCGACAAUAGCUAACAUGAUUCACACGGACUUAAGCAUCGCUACUGGUGAGAAGGUCUCAUCGUAGUCAACUCCUUGAACUUGUUGAAAACCUUUCGCAACAAGUCGAGCUUUGUAGACAGUAACAUUACCAUCAGUGUCUGUCUUCUUCUUGAAGACCCAUUUAUUUUCGAUGGCCUGCCGAUCAUCGGCAAGUCAACUAAAGUCCACACUUUGUUCUCAUACAUGGAUCCCAUCUCAGAUUUCAUGGCCUCAAGCCAUUUUGUGGAAUCUGGGCUCAUCAUCGCUUCCUCAUAGUUCGUAGGUUCGUCAUGGUCAAGUAACAUGACCUCCAGAAUAGGAUUAUCGUACCACUCCGGUGCAGAUCUUGUUCUGGUUGACCUACGAGGUUUGGUAGUAACUUGAUCUGAAGUUUCAUGAUCAUCAUCAUUAGCUUCCUCACUAAUUGGUGUAGGUGUCACAUGAACUGGUUUCUAUGAUGAACUACUUUCCAAUAAGGGAGCAUGUACAGUUACCUCAUCAAGUUCUACUUUCCUCCCACUCACUUCUUUCGAGAGAAACUCCUUCUCUAGAAAGGAUCCAUUCUGAGCAACGAAUGUCUUGCCUUCGGAUCUGUGAUAGAAGGUGUACCCACCAGUUUCCUUUGGGUAUCCUAUGAAGACACAUUUCUCCAAUUUGGGUUCGAGCUUAUCAGGUUGAAGCUUUUUCACAUAAGCAUCGCAGCCCCAAACUUUAAGAAACAACAACUUUGGUUUCUUGCCAAACCAUAGUUCAUAAGGCGUCGUCUCAAUGGAUUUUGAUGGUGCCCUAUUUAACGUGAAUGCAGCCGUUUCUAAAGCAUAACCCAAAAACGAUAGCGGUAAAUCAGUAAGAGACAUCAUAGAUCGCACCAUAUCUAGUAAAGUACGAUUACGACGUUCGGACACACCAUUACGCUGUGGUGUUCCGGGUGGCGUGAGUUGCGAAACUAUUCCACAUUGUUUCAAAUGUAGACCAAACUCAUAACUCAAAUAUUCUCCUCCAUGAUCAUAUCGUAGAAACUUUAUUUUCUUGUUACGAUGAUUUUCCACUUCACUCUGAAAUUCUUUGAACUUUUCAAAUGUUUCAGAUUUAUGUUUCAUUAAGUAGAUAUACCCAUAUCUGCUCAAAUCAUCUGUGAAGGUGAGAAAAUAACGAUACCUGUCGCGAGCCUCAAUAUUCAUCGGACCACAUACGUCAGUAUGUAUGAUUUCCAAAAAAUCUGUUGCUCGCUCCAUAGUUCCGGAGAACGGUGUUUUAGUCAUCUUGCCCAUAAGGCAUGGUUCGCAAGUACCAAGUGAUUCAUAAUCAAGUGAUUCCAAAAGUCCAUCAGUAUGGAGUUUCUUCAUGCGCUUUAUACCAAUAUGACCCAAACGUCAGUGCCACAAAUUAGUUGCACUAUCAUUAUCAACUCUGCAUAUUUUGGCUUCAACAUUAUGAAUAUGUGUAUCACUAUUGUUGAGAUUCAACAAAAAUAGACCACUCUUCAAGGGUGCAUGACCAUAAAAGAUAUUACACAUAUAAAUAGAACAAUCAUUAUUCUCAGAUUUAAAUGAAUAACCGUCUUGGAGCAAACAAGAUCUAGAUAUAAUGUUCAUGCUUAAUGCUGGCACCAAAUAACAAUUAUUUAGGUCUAAAACUAGUCCCGAAGGUAGAUGUAGAGGUAGUGUGCCGACGGUGAUCACAUCGACUUUGGAACCAUUUCCCACGUGCAUCGUCACCUUGUCCUUAGCCAGUCUUCGCUUAAUCCGUACUCCCUGUUUCGAGUUGCAAAUAUUAGCAACAGAACCAGUAUCAAAUACCCAGGUGCUACUGCGAGCUCUGGUAAGGUACACAUCAAUAACAUGUAUAUCACAUAUACCUUUGUUCACCUUGCCAUCCUUCUUAUCCGCCAAAUACUUGGGGCAGUUCCGCUUCCAAUGACCUGUAUGUUUGCAGUAGAAGCACUCAGUCUCAGGCUUAGGUCCAGACUUGGGUUUCUUCUCCUGAGCAGCAACUUGUUUGUUGUUCUUCUUGAAGUUCCCCUUCUUCUUCCCUUUGCCUUUUUCUUGAAACUGGUGGUCUUGUUGACCAUCAACACUUGAUGCUCCUUCUUGAUUUCUACCUCCGCUGCCUUUAGCACUGCGAAGAGCUCGGGAAUUGUUUUGUUCAUCCCUUGCAUAUUAUAGUUCAUCACGAAGCUUUUAUAGCUUGGUGGUAGUGAUUGAAGAACUCUGUCAAUGACACUAUCAACAUGAAGAUUAACUCCCAGUCGAGUCAAGUGAUUAUGAUACCCAGACAUUUUGAGUAUAUGUUCACUGACAGAACUAUUCUCCUCCAUCUUGCAGCUAUAGAACUUAUUGGAGACUUCAUAUCUCUUAAUCCGAGCAUUUGCUUGAAAUAUUAACAUCAACUCCUGGAACAUCUAAUAUGCUCCAUGACGUUCAAAACAUCGUUGAAGUCCCGGUUCUAAGCCGUAAAGCAUGACACACUGAACUAUCGAGUAGUCAUCAACUUUACUCUGCCAGAUGUUCUUAACGUCAUCAGCAGCAUCUGCAGCAGGCCUGGCACCUAGCGGUGCUUCCAGGACGUAAUUCUUUUGUGCAGUAAUGAGGAUAAUCCUCAAGUUACGGACCCAGUCCGUGUAAUUGCUACCAUCAUCUUUCAACUUUGCUUUCUCAAGGAACGCAUUAAAAUUCAACGGUACAACAUCACGGGCCAUCUAUCUACAAUCAACAUAGACAAGCAAAAUACUAUCAGGUACUAAGUUCAUGAUAAAUUUAAGUUCAAUUAAUCAUAUUACUUAAGAACUCCCACUUAGAUAGACAUCCCUCUAAUCAUCUAAGUGAUCACGUGAUCCAAAUCAACUAAACCACGUCUGAUCAUCACGUGAGAUGGAGUAGUUUUCAAUGGUGAACAUCACUAUGUUGAUCAUAUCUACUAUAUGAUUCACGCUCGACCUUUGGGUCUCAGUAUUCCCAGGCCAUAUCUGCAUAUGCUAGGCUCGUCAAGUUUAACCUGAGUAUUCUGCGUGUGCAAAACUGGCUUGCACCCGUUGUAGAUGAACGCACAGCUUAUCACACCCGAUCAUCAUGUGGUGUCUCGGCACGACGAACUUUGGCAAUGGUGCAUACUCAGGGAGAACACUUUUACCUUGAAAUUUAGUGAGAUAUCAUCUUAUAAUGCUACCAUCAAACAAAGCAGAAUAAGAUGCAUAAAGGAUAAACAUCACAUGCAAUCAAUAUAAGUGAUAUGAUAUGGCCAUCAUCAUCUUGUGCUUGUGAUCUCCAUUUACGAAGCACCGUCAUGAUCACCAUCAUCACCAGCGCGACACCUUGAUCUCCAUCGUAGCAUCGUUGUCGUCUUGCCAACUAUUGCUUCUACGACUAUCGCUACCGCUUAGUGAUAAAGUAAAGAAAUUAUAGGGCAAUUGCAUUACAUACAAUAAAGCGACAACCAUAUGGCUCAUGCCAGCUGCCGAUAACUCGGUUACAAAACAUGAUCAUCUCAUACAACAAAAUAUAGCAUCAUGUCUUGACCAUAUCACAUCACAACAUGCCCUGCAAAAACAAGUUAGACGUCCUCUACUUUGUUGUUGCAAAUUUUACGUGGCUGCUAUGGGCUAAGCAAGAACCAUUCUUACCUACGCAUCAAAACCACAACGAUAGUUCGUCAAGUUAGUGCUAUUUUAACCUUCUCAAGGACCGGGCAUAGCCACACUCGGUUCAACUAAAGUUGGAGAAACUGACACCCGCCAACCACCUAUGUGCAAAGCACGUCGGCAGAACCAGUCUCACGUAAGCGUACGCGUAAUGUCGGUCCAGGCCGCUUCAUCCAACAAUACCGCCAAACCAAAGUAUGACAUGCUGGUAAGCAUUAUGACUUCUAUCGCCCACCACUCACUUGUGUUCUACUCGUGCAUAUAACAUCGACACAUAAAACCAGGCUCGGAUGCCACUGCUGGGGAACAUAGUAAUUUCAAAAAAAUUCCUACACACACGCAGGAUCAUGGUGAUGCAUAGCAAUGAGAGGGAAGAGUGUGUCCAUGUACCCUCGUAGACCGAAUGCGGAAGCGUUAGCACAACGCGGUUGAUGUAGUCAUACGUAUUCACGAUCUGACCGAUCCAAGUACCGAACGCACGGCACCUUCGAGUUCUGCACAUGUUCAACUCGAUGACGUCCUGCGAGCUCCGAUCCAGCAAAGCUUCAUAGAAGAGUUUCAUCAACAUGACGGCGUGGUGACGCUGAUGAUGAUGCUACCGACGCAGGGCUUCGCCUAAGCACCGCUAAGAUAUGAUCGAGGUGGAUUAUGGUGGAGGGGGGCACCGCACACGGCUAAGAGAUCAAUGAUCAAUUGUUGUGUCUAUGGGGUGCCCCUACCCCCGUAUAUAAAGGCGCAAGGGGGAGGAGGCGGUUGGCCAGGGAGAGGCGCGCCAAUGGGAGUCCUACUCCCACCGGGAGUAGGAUUCCCCCUUUUCCAACUUGGAGUAGGAGAGGGAAGGAAGAGGAAGGAGGGAGGAAGGAAGGGGGGGGGGGCGGCCCCCCUCCCAAUCCAGAUUGGGCUUGGGGGGCGCCACCUCCCUUGCUCCUUUCCCCUCCUUUCCACUAAAGCCCAAUAAUGCCCAUAUACCUCUCGGGGGGUUCCGAUAACCUCCCGGUGUUCCGGUAUAUUCCCGAUCUCACCCGGAACCAUUCCGGUAUCCAAAUAUAGUCGUCCAAUAUAUCGAUCUUUAUGUCUCGACCAUUUAGGGACUCCUCGUCAUGUCCGUGAUCAUAUCCGGGACUUCGAACUACCUUCGGUACAUAAAAACACAAAAAACUCAUAAUACCGAUCGUCACCGAACUUUAAACGUGCGGACCCUACAGGUUCGAGAACUAUGUAGACAUGACCGAGACACGUCUCCGGUCAAUAACCAAUAGCGAAACAUGGAUGCUCAUAUUGGUUCCUACAUAUUCUACGAAGAUCUUUAUCGGUCAAACCGCAUAACAACAUACGUUGUUCCCUUUGUCAUCGGUAUGUUACUUGCCCAAGAUUCGAUCGUCGGUAUCUCAAUACCUUGUUCAAUCUCAUUACCGGCAAGUCUCUUUACUCGUUCCGUAAUACAUCAUCCCACAACUAACUCAUUGGUUACAAUGCUUGCAAGGCUAAUAGUGAUGUGCAUUAUCGAGUGGGCCCAGAGAUACCUCUUCGACAAUCGGAGUGACAAAUCCUAAUCUCGAAAUAUGCCAACUCAACAAGUACCUUUGGAGACACCUGUAGAGCACCUUUAUAAUCACCCAGUUACAUUGUGACGUUUGGUAGCACACAAAGUGUUCCUCCGGUAAAUGGGAGUUGCAUAAUCUCAUAGUAAUAGGAACAUGUAUAAGUCAUGAAGAAAGCAAUAGCAACAUACUAAACGAUCAAGUGCUAAGCUAACGGAAUGGGUCAAGUCAAUCACAUCAUUCUCCUAAUGAUGUGACCCCGUUAAUCAAAUGACAACUCAUGUCUAUGGUUAGGAAACAUAACCAUCUUUGAUAAACGAGCUAGUCAAGUAGAGGCAUACUAGUGACACUCUGUUUGUCUAUGUAUUCACACAUGUAUCAUGUUUCGUUUUAAUACAAUUCUAGCAUGAAUAAUAAACAUUUAUCAUGAUAUAAGGAAAUAAAUAAUAAUUUUAUUAUUGCCUCUAGGGCAUAUUUCCUUCAAAAACAUGCAUCAAGCCCUAUGCAUAGAUUACCCCAAUGCCACCUCAGGAAUCUGUGAGUUGAGUGCCAAAACAUACAUCAAGUGAAUCAAUAGAACGCCCCAUUGUCACCACGGGUAUCCCACGCAAGACAUACAUCAAGUGUUCUCAAAUCCAUAAAAUUAUUCAAUCCGAUAAUAGUGAAACCUCAAAGGUAAAACUCAAUUCAUCACAAGAAGAUAGAGAGGGAGAAACACCAUAUGAUCCAACUAUAGUAACAAUACUCGCGGUACAUCAAGACCGUGCCAAAUCAAGAACACGAGAGAGAGAAAUCAAACACAUAGCUACUGGUACAUACCCUCAGCCCGAGGGUGAACUACUUGUGACGCCCCCGAUUCAAUCGUACACUAAUCAUACAUCAAGAUCAGGGACUCACGGGAAGAUAUCACAACACAACUCUAGACACAAAUUAAAAUAAUACAAGCUAUAUAUUACAAGCCAGGGGUCUCGAGGGCUCGAAUACAUCAGCUUGAAUACAAAUGAAUCAACGGAAGCAACAAUAUCUAAGUAAAGACAUAAGUUAAACAAGUUUGCCUUAAGAAGACUAGCACAAAAGCAACAUGAUCAAAAAGGCAAGGCCUCCUGCCUAGGAGCCUCCUAACUACUCCUAGUCGUCGGCGUCCGUCAUGUAGUAGUAGGCACCCUCGGGUAGUAGUACUCGUUGGCGGUGGCAUCUGGAUCCUAGGCUCCACCAUCUGGUUGCGACAUCUGAGGAGAAUGGAAAAGGGGGAAAAGAGGGAGCAAAGAAACCAUGAGUACUCAUCCAAAGUACUCGCAAGCAAGGAUCUACACUACAUAUGCAUCAAUAUCAAUGAAAUGGGUAGUAUCUGGACUGAACCGCAGAAUGCUAGAAGAGAAGGGAAAGCCUAGCCUAUCAAAGACUAGCAUCUUCAAGCAUCUUACAACAUCAGAAGAGAUAAGGGUAGCAUAUUAUAAUAUUAGUAAGUAUGUUGUAACAUCGCCCAAAGAUAACUUCCUCGACUCCCUGCGAGAAAACAGUCCCGGAGCCAUCAUUUCCAUUACAUGCCUCAUCUGUUGGGGAAUGCAGUAAUUUCAAAAAAAUUCCUACACACACGAAAGAUCUAUCAUGGUGACGCAUAUCAACGAGAGGGAAGAGUUUUGUCCACGUACCCUCGUAGACCAUAAGCGGAAGCGUUAUGACAACACGGUUGAUGUAGUCGUACGUCUUCAUGAUCCGACCGAUCCUACUACCGAAAGUACGGCACCUCCGCGAUCUGCACAUGUUCAGCUCGGUGACGUCCCAUGAACUCGCGAUCCAGCUGAGUGUCGAGGGAGAGAUUCAUCAGCACGACGGCAUGAUGACGGUGAAGAUGAAGCUACUGGCGCAGGGCUUCGCCUAAGCACUACAACGAUAUGACCGAGGUGGAUUAUGGUGGAGGGGGGCACCGCACACGGCUAAGGGAUCAAUGAUCAACUUGUGUGUCCUAGGGUGCCCCCCCUGCCCCUAUAUAUAAAGGAGCAUGGGGAGGCCGGCCGGCCCUUGGGGUGCGCCAAGGAGGGGAGGAGUCCUCCUCCUAGUAGGAGUAGGACUCCCCCUUUCCUAGUCCAACUAGGAGGAGGAAGGGGAAAGGAAGGAGAGGAAAGAGGGAGGGAAAGAGGGGGCACCACCCCUCCUUGUCCAAUUCAGACUCCUCAAGGGGGGGGGGGGCGUGGCCAGCCCUAAGACCCCAUCCUCUCUCUCUCAGAAGGCCCAUGUUGGCCCAUUAGAUCCCCUGGGGGUUCCGAUAAUCCCCGACACUCUGAUAGUUAUCCGAUGGCCCCCGGAACUCAUCCGGUGUCUGAAUAUAGUCAUCCAAUAUAUCAAUCUUUAUGUCUUGACCAUUUCGAGACUCCUCUCAAUAUCUGUGAUCACAUCCGGGACUCCGAACUAUCUCCGGUACAUCAAAACACAUAAACUCAUAAUACCAAUCGUCACCGAACGUUAAGCGUGCGGACCCUACGGGUUUGAGAACUAUGUAGACAUGACCGAGACACAUCUCCGGUCAAUAACCAAUAGCGGAACUUGGAUGUUUAUAUUGGCUCCCACAUAUUCUACGAAGAUCUUUAUCGGUCAAACCACAUAACGAUAUACGUUGUUCCCUUUGUCAUCGGUAUGUUACUUGCCCGAGAUUCGAUCAUCGGUAUCUCAAUACCUAGUUUAAUCUCGUUACCGGCAAGUCUCUUUACUCGUUCUGUAAUGCAUCAUCCCGUAACUAACUCAUUAAUCACAUUGCUUGCAAGGCUUAUAGUGAUGUGCAUUACCGAGAGGGCCCAAAGAUACCUCUCUGAUACUUGGAGUGACAAAUCCUAAUCUUGAUCUGUGCCAACUCAACAAAUACCAUCGGGGACACCUGUAGAGCAUCUUUAUAGUCACCCAGUUACGUUGUGACGUUUGAUAGCACACUAAGUGUUCCUCCGGUAUUCGGGAGUUGCAUGAUCUUAUAGUCAUAGGAACAUGUACAAGUUAUGGAGAAAGCAAUAGCAACAAACUAAACGAUCAUCGAGCUAAGAUAACGGAUGGGUCAAGUCAAUCACAUCAUUCUCUAAUGAUGUGAUCCCGUUAAUCAAAUGACAACUCAUGUCUAUGGUUAGGAAACAUAACCAUCAUUGAUUCAAUGAGCUGGUCAACUAGAGGCAUACUAGUGACAUUCUGUUUGACUAUGUAUUCACACAUGUACUAAGUUUCCGAUUAAUACAAUUCUAGCAUGAAUAAUAAACAUUUAUCAUGAUAUAAGGAAAUAUAAAUAACAACUUUAUUAUUGCCUCUAGGGCAUAUUUCUGUCAUCAGCAUCCAGUUCUAGUUGUAUCGAUCGGGAUACAACUUCGAGUGUCCGUUACCGUGGACAAGGCGCUUCGAAUAGAUCAACAUUCCCUGCAGGGGUGCACCAACUUACCCAACACGCUCGAUCAACUCCAGCCGGACACACCAUUAGGUCGUGACCGGCCUCGGCCGAUCAACACACCUCAGUCCUACCUAGGCUCAACAGAGAGGUCACACGCCGGUCUAAAUCCUAAAUGCGAAGGGGUCAUGGGCCAAUCGUCCUUUGCAAUCCUGCGCAUUGCGAGGACAGUCAGGAUCAGUCCUGACUACCUCCUUAUAAAAGGCAAGUGCUUACGUGGACCACUCGGGCGCGUGCCGCUCAACUCUGGCAUCU